rnacentral:pre_miRNA from 14 species
UAGAACUGGCGUGUGAUUUAGGUAGUUUCAUGUUGUUGGGGCUCAAGUCUAUCUCUACAACACGAAACUGCCUGAAUUACUGCAGUUAU